rnacentral:rRNA from 1 species
AUUGAACGAUGGCGGCAGGCUUAACACAUGCAAGUAGAACGAGUGGCGGACGGGUGAGUAAUGUCUGGGAAACUGCCUGAUGGAGGGGGAUAACUACUGGAAACGGAAGCUAAUACAGCAUACCAUCAGACCUGCCCAGCAGGGAUUAGCUCGUGAGUGGGGUAACGGCUCACCAGGGCGACGAUCCCUAGCUGGUCUGAGAGGAUGAUCAGCCACGCUCGAACUAAGACACGGUCCAGACUCCUGCGGGCGGCGGCAGUAGGGAAAAUUGCACAAUGGGCGCAAGCCUGGUGCAGCCUUGCCGCGUGUAUGAAGAAGGCCUUCGGGUUGUAAAGUACUUUCAGCGGGGAGGCGUUACCCGCAGAAGAAGCACCGACUAACUCCGUGCCAGCAACCGCGGUAGUAC